GUCCCUAAGCUCACCCUUGAUAAUCAUGUCCUAUGUGAAUUUCACCCUUUUAAUCUUUUUAUUAAGGACCGAGCAACCCAGGACGUUCUGCUUAGUGGCCGCUUGAGCCAAGGCUUGUACCGUUUGGAGGAUCCAUCCGCCUCGUGCGUCUUCAGCGGUGUUCGUGUGUCACCUUUCCAGUGGCACUCUCGCUUUGGUCAUCCUGCCACACCCAUAGUUCGCCACAUACUCCACCGCCAUGAGUUGCCAUUAGAGUCUAGCAAUAAAGAGAUGUCCGUGUGUGAUGCCUGUCAACAAGGCAAAAGUCAUCAGCUACCUUUUGUUUCAUCUACUAGAUAA
rnacentral:rRNA from 1 species